CCUACGGGCGGCAGCAGUGAGGAAUAUUGGUCAAUGGGCGCGAGCCUGAACCAGCCAAGUAGCGUGAAGGAUGACUGCCCUACGGGUUGUAAACUUCUUUUAUAAAGGAAUAAAGUGAGGCACGUGUGCCUUUUUGUAUGUACUUUAUGAAUAAGGAUCGGCUAACUCCGUGCCAGCCGCCGCGGUAAUACGUAGGAUCCGAGCGUUAUCCGGAUUUAUAGUGUGUAAAGUGAGCGUAGAUGGGUUGUUAAGUCAGUUGUGAAAGUUUGCGGCUCAACCGUAAAAUUGCAAUUGAUACUGGCAGUCUUGAGUACAGUUGAGGGAGGCGGAAUUCGUGGGGUAGCGGUGAAAUGCUUAGAUAUCACGAAGAACUCCGAUUGCGAAGGCAGCUUACUAAACUGCCACUGACAUUGAUGCGCGAAAGUGUGGGUAUCAAACAGGAUUAGAUACCCUAGUAGUC
rnacentral:rRNA from 1 species